AUGAACGCUGGCGGCGUGCUUAACACAUGUAAGUCGAACGCAGCAUUUAAGACAGAUUACUUCGGUUUGAAGUCUUUUCUGACUGAGUGGCGGACGGGUGAGUAACUCGUGGGUAACCUGCCUCAUACAGGGGGAUCGCAGCUGGAAACGGCUGGUAAUACCGCAUAAGCGCACAGUACCACAUGGUACAGUGUGAAAAACUCCGGUGGUAUGAGAUGGACCCGCGUCUGAUUAGCUUGUUGGCGGGGUAACGGCCCACCAAGGCGACGAUCAGUAGCCGACCUGAGAGGGUGACCGGCCACAUUGGGACUGAGACACGGCCCAGACUCCUACGGGAGGCAGCAGUGGGGAAUAUUGCACAAUGGAGGAAACUCUGAUGCAGCGACGCCGCGUGAGUGAAGAAGUAGUUCGCUAUGUAAAGCUCUAUCAGCAGGGAAGAUAGUGACGGUACCUGACGAAGAAGCUCCGGCUAAAUACGUG
rnacentral:rRNA from 1 species